GACAGAGGGUGCAAACGUUGCUCGGAAUCACUGGGCGUAAAGGGCGUGUAGGCGGGACGGUAAGUCGGGCGUGAAAUCCCUAGGCUCAACCUAGGAACUGCACUCGAAACUACCAUUCUUGAGUGUCGGAGAGGAAAGCGGAAUUCCUGGUGUAGAGGUGAAAAUUCGUAGAUAUCAGGAGGAACACCAGUGGCGAAGGCGGCUUUCUGGACGAUAACUGACGCUGAGACGCGGAAGCGUGGGGAGCAAACAGG
rnacentral:rRNA from 1 species